ACCUGCUCUAUGAUAUAGUAUUAUUAAAUGGCCGCGAUAUUUUGAUCGUGCAAAGGUAGCAUAAUCAUUAGUUUCUUAAUUAGGAACUGGAAUGAAAGGUUGAACGAGAAAAUAACUGUCUCAAUUUAAUUUAAUUAGAAUUUUAUAUUUAAGUAAAAAAGCUUAAAUGAAUUUAAAAGACGAGAAGACCCUAUAGAGUUUGAUAUUUAGUAAUUUUAAAAGAAAUUUAGUAUAAUAGUAUUUUAUAAUUUAUUAAGUAUUUAGUUGGGGUGACUUAAAAAUUUAAUAAACUUUUUAAAAAAUUUUACAUUUAUAUAUGAAAAAUUGAUCCAUAUUUUAUGAUUAAAAGAUUAA
rnacentral:rRNA from 1 species